UUCUGUGGUUCUCAGCAGUGACAACUCAGAGGUUCCCCCCUUUCAACCAAGGACUCUCGGUGCAUUUAAUUUAGUCGUGUUUCCUUGAGCAUAAUUGAUAUUAUCCUAAUUUUCCUUUCCAUUUGUAGUUUGUGUUGCUGUCAGGCUGUAAUAAAUCUGAAAUAUAUUAGUUCAUUUGGUUCCUUGGAUUCUUAAGUAGAUCCAAUAUUCACUUAAGCAUGCAUGCUAUCUUCACUGUUUCAGCUUCUCCCUCCAAUUAAUGUACUCCUUCUUUUAACCUCAUAUUAUUCCUUAUUCAAUUGUUUAAUUUCACCAUAUAUGGUAAAAGGUUGAUUUUCAGAUAUGCUUCUUAUACACUGGGAAUCGUUCGGUUCGUGUAAGGUUGCUGUUUAUUGGUAACUUUAUCAUCAAUCAUUAUGUAAUUAAAAUGAAUCUUGUCAUCUGUUACAGAAUAUUUGGUUCACAUUAAAUUGUGUAUGUGGUGGGGAUUUAGCAUAGCAGUUUAUCUGUAUAUGUUUGAUAAUUCAUAUGUUGGAUUUAUAUUUUAGCAAGUAAGACCAUGAUGACUAACAGGGUUACAGUGAUGGCUUCCUAGUUCUUCCUGUAUUUUGUGUAAACUCGUAGGCAUUAUUUUGUUGGUUGUUGGUCUUGGUCACAAUCCAGCAAAGAGAACAAGAUUUAUAAUUCAGUCAAGCUCAGGCAAAUGGAAUCUAUUUCACUUGUCUUAUUUAAGAUUUAAAGUGAUUAAUUGAUCAACAUUCAGAAAUUUUUUAGAAAGUAUUGUUAGUUCUCUGCAGUAAUUUGUCAUUUUUUGAAUCGUUAAUAAAAGUAGCGAAUUAUUCAGGAAAAGCUAUUUCUAUGUGAGUCUUAAUCAACUUGAGAAAUUGAUUUUGAUAGAAAAUCUAAACUAGAGUGGUUAUCAGUCAGAAUUCAAGAAAUGCAGGCAUAGUUUGUAUCAGAGAUAGUUUCUGUGUGAAGUUUAUUGUAAAAUUCUUUUGUUUAAUCUUAAAUUAAGUGUAGCUCUUAUUUGGUAGCCUACGAAUCCCAUUUGUUCUUCAUUCUUCUGCUGUACUACAAGCAAAUUUUAGAUACCAGCUAAAUUUUACUUCGACAGUUUCAAGGCUAGGUAUAUGUUUGUCCGGCUAGCUAUCUGUUGUCAGCACAUUUCAUUUGUGUCUCGGCAACUUGUACUGUCACGCUAGUGGACGCAGGUGCACCCUCAUGCCUGCCAUUCAGUCUUUUGGCAGCAAAGAGGCAUCAUCAUCAGUAAUCCCAAUAAAUGUCUCAAUUAUCAUCUCAGCCACAGAUCUCAACGUUCCUUUAUAACCAAUCUAUUUUAUAAUCAUCUCCAAUUUUAUUUCAGUAACUUUGUCCUUGAUGUUAGUUACAGUUUAGAGUAUAACCUAUAAACUACAGGCUGUCUAAAAGCAACUUCAUAUUUCAUGGAUCAUUUUGAAGUUUGAAAUGUGCUAGUCAUGCUAGAAAUUGACUACAUAAAGGAAGAACCAUGCAUUUCUGCAGGUUAGCGACACCAAUCUGUUUAAAGUACAUUAAUGUUGCCAUGGUAACAAUUUUGAAGAAUGUCACCAAUGUCAUUACUGCUCUUGGUGAAACAUACCUUUUCCAAAAGCAUCACGGCAACAAAGUCUGGGCUGCUCUGUUCCUUAUGAUAAUCUCAGCAAUUUCUGGAGGAAUCACAGAUCUCUCAUUUCAUGCAGUUGGCUAUGCAUGGCAGAUUGUUAAUUGUUUCCUGACAGCAUCAUAUUCACUAACACUACGGCGGGUUAUGGAUACAGCUAAGCAAUUAACAAAAUCUGGAAAUUUGAAUGAGUUUUCAAUGGUUUUGCUCAAUAACACACUUUCAUUGCCUUUGGGGAUUCUGCUAGUUUUUGCAUUUAAUGAAGUGGAUUACCUUUCUAAAACGCCGCUUUUGAGGAUGCCUUUAUUCUGGUUGACAAUGACUUCAAGUGGGUUUUUGGGGCUUGCAAUCAGCUUCACUUCAAUGUGGUUUCUUCACCAGACAGGUGCAACUACAUACAGCCUUGUAGGAUCACUGAAUAAGAUACCUCUGUCCAUUGCUGGAAUCCUUCUCUUUAAAGUUCCAACUAGCCUGGAGAAUUUCAUAAGCAUCCUUUUUGGUCUGUUAGCAGGCAUAUUCUUUGCCAAGGCAAAGAUGAGGGAGAGAUCUCAGUCCUGAGGUAGAGAGGGGCCGUUCAUUGGAAAUCAUUGUUUGGAGCUGGGAAAGUGCUGUAUUUGCAGAAUUACAGUAAGAACCAGAAAAUUAAUCAGAGUCCAAUGCUGAAGAACUUGGGGGUGCAAUGACCUAACUGUGCCAUGGGCAUCAACAGUGUACCAUCUUAUUUUAUCGGAAGUCUCGGAGGAGACAAAUGGUGCGGCGGACCAUCACCCAUGUAUUUUUCUCAAAAAGGGAAAAAAAGGGGCACCUGUAAUAAAACUUCUUGUAGAAUGCUGCUUACCGUUGGUUGGACAUGAUUCAGUAAUCUAGUUGAGGAUAAAACGCUUUGGAAUUGUUAAUUCAUAACUUGAGACGUACGUGGCUGAAUGUAUCUUGCAAGAAAUUUGGAUGAAGCUUUUGAUGUAAAGCUACAAAUUUAACAAAAAAUGAGUAUGACUUCUCAGUGUGCUUAAAUAUUUA